ACGGAAGGCAGCAGUGGGGAAUCUUGCGCAAUGGGCGAAAGCCUGACGCAGCAACGCCGCGUGUGUGAUGAAGGUCUUCGGAUCGUAAAGCACUGUCGGGAGGGACGAAUAAGGGGUGGUCUAACAAGCCAUCUCGAUGACGGUACCUCCAAAGGAAGCACCGGCUAACUCUGUGCCAGCAGCCGCGGUAAUACAGAGGGUGCGAGCGUUGUUCGGAAUUAUUGGGCGUAAAGCGCGUGUAGGCGGUCCAUCAAGUCGGGUGUGAAAGCCCUCGGCUCAACCGAGGAAGUGCGCCCGAAACUAAUAGACUUGAGUGCCGGAGAGGGUGGCGGAAUUCCCGGUGUAGAGGUGAAAUUCGUAGAUAUCGGGAGGAACACCAGUGGCGAAGGCGGCCACCUGGACGGUAACUGACGCUGAGACGCGAAAGCGUGGGGAGCAAACAGGAUUAGAUACCCUGGUA
rnacentral:rRNA from 1 species